GUCUACAGCCAUGACACUCUGAACACGCCUGAUCCCUUCCAAUAUCAGAAGCUAAGCAAUGUCGGUCCUGGUUAGUGCUUAAAUGGGAGAACACCUAGGAAGACCAGGUGCUAUAGGCA
ensembl:rRNA 5S_rRNA 5S ribosomal RNA